rnacentral:lncRNA from 1 species
AUGUUUGUGCUUGGUUGAAUUUGAAGGUGCUCUGAUUGAGGAUAUGCUGGAAGGGUAGUGUCAACUUAAACUGAUGGCCAUUGUGCCCGGUUUUCAUGUGUGAGGGAAGAGUGCCUUAGAAAGCCCAUGGAAGGGACAAGCAAAGUGUUCUCAGUGUGACUGUGCAAAUUGUAAAUCUGCCGGGGAUUCUAGGAGCGUUUGGCUCCUCUGGCUCCAGUGAUUUAGUAAUUCGGUGGAGAGUCUGUGUUAACAGCUUCUUAAAUAUUUAAUGUUUUAGGCAGAAUGAUAGGUUGAUAAGAUGUUUGCUCUGUCUGAGAAAAGUAAAUCACACAGUUCAACCCCCAAACUACUGGACUCUGUAAAGGAAGCUUGGUUUUUGAUAGGAAGAAAUGGCUUUCUGUUGCUUGUAAGUUUCUUAUAAUUUUGAAAGUAAUUUUCUUUCGGGACAGGGUCACAAUCCUGUCAAAACAGGACUGCUGGGAUUGCAGAGUUGUAGUAUCGUGCCUGGCUUGAAAAUAAUUUUUAAUGAAAAACGGUGAAGAGGAAAAUACAAAAGGUGGAAGUUCAUCUAUCUCUGAGCAUCUUAGACUUUAUUAGGAUUUCACCAUGACUUUCAAGUAAAGAAAACAGAAUUUACCUAUAAUGCCAUUAUCAGCUUUCCUGAAGAUUUUUUUCCCCAACAGGAGAGGACUGUUUUUAAACACUUAAAUUGUUCUUAAGGAUAAACUAAGGUUUACCAAGGGAAAUUCAUCACUACAUUGAUCAGCAAAAUCCCUGGUUUUCUAUAUAUUAGAGGCCAAUCCUAACUUAACAUACAAGAGACCCACUAUGAUGGAGUUAUACGUGGCAACGGCAUUAGAACAAUUCUCUCCAAAAGAUUGGGGCAGGAAGUGAAGACUGUCAUGGGCAACUAGACCUUCAGGAGGAGAAAGAUGUAAUCAUGCAAAGUAAAACUUGGCAAAGAAGGAUAAAUAUUUUUUUUCUCUUGCCAAAGAACCACAGGAUCCUUACAUCACCUAAUCUGGCAUCCCAGACACAGGGUGCUAUUUAUUGACAUGCUGGGACAGCAGCUCUCCACUGACCUCAGAAGACAUUCUGUUGCUCAUAGAACUGCCAGCGCCAGCAGCAACCAGAGCAUCUUUUAUUUUUGUACAUAAUAAGUUACCUCAUCGGACAUUGUUUAAUUUGUGGUAGACAGGGAACAAAUAUCUUACCUUGGCUUCACUGUCAAUUACAAUAAUUUAAAAAAACC